GUCGAGCGGUAAGGCCUUUCGGGGUACACGAGCGGCGAACGGGUGAGUAACACGUGGGUGAUCUGCCUUGCACUCUGGGAUAAGCCUGGGAAACUGGGUCUAAUACUGGAUAUGACCACAUGCUGCAUGGUGUGUGGUGGAAAGCUUUUGUGGUGUGAGAUGGGCCCGCGGCCUAUCAGCUUGUUGGUGGGGUAAUGGCCUACCAAGGCGACGACGGGUAGCCGACCUGAGAGGGUGACCGGCCACACUGGGACUGAGACACGGCCCAGACUCCUACGGGAGGCAGCAGUGGGGAAUAUUGCACAAUGGGCGGAAGCCUGAUGCAGCGACGCCGCGUGAGGGAUGAAGGCCUUCGGGUUGUAAACCUCUUUCAGCAGGGACGAAGCGUGAGUGACGGUACCUGCAGAAGAAGCACCGGCUAACUACGUGCCAGCAGCCGCGGUAAUACGUAGGGUGCGAGCGUUGUCCGGAAUUACUGGGCGUAAAGAGUUCGUAGGCGGUUUGUCGCGUCGUUUGUGAAAACCCGGGGCUCAACUUCGGGCUUGCAGGCGAUACGGGCAGACUUGAGUGUUUCAGGGGAGACUGGAAUUCCUGGUGUAGCGGUGAAAUGCGCAGAUAUCAGGAGGAACACCGGUGGCGAAGGCGGGUCUCUGGGAACAACUGACGCUGAGGAACGAAAGCGUGGGUAGC
rnacentral:rRNA from 1 species